ensembl:lncRNA
AUGAGUGAAAUGCUUUGCAAACUGUGCAGCCCACUACCGAACCAAUUCCUUAACAAUACUGCCUUUAAAGUUGGUCCUUCUCAAGUUUGUUUAGGGGACAUUUUUGAAUCUCUGAAUCGCUCGUGCGUUACGAUCUGCUUUCUAUAUUUACCGAAACGAUCGCUGGGACGGCUACAGUUUACGGCUGUGGGAUUCCUCCGGGGAACAUCUUGUUGUCACGGUCCACUGGCGUCUGAAGAGCGCCAAGGAAACCCUGACUGCAGGAGCGAGACGAGAAAAGAGACAGAGCGUGAGGGAAUGAACGCAACGGCGCGUGUGUGCGCGAGGCUCUGUGGGAGAGAAACAGACAGUGCUUUGGGCAGUAGCAAAGAUGACAGAACGCUCUCAAGAAUGACUCACAGAUGGAGAAAGCACAAGAAAACGAGGGUUUGGAAAGGGAAAGCCAGCAAACAGCGUGAGCAGUGCAGCGCUGGAGCAUGUGAGGGCAAGAAGUACUUCAACACACACACAUUAAGAGCAUACCAGCGCUGUGUGUGCGUUAAGAGGGUUGGGUUUCUAAAUGACAGAUCAUUAUCAUGCUAAUUAAAGCAUUUUGUAGCUGUGACUUGUGCAGUAUUUGUGUAUGUGUGUGAGUGUCUAAUUAAGGCCAGUUCAUCAGCGCCCAGCUCAUUUACACCGUGCUAGAGUGACACCCUGAUUCAAGCACAUGGACAGUAAUGAAGCUAUUAAUUAUUAUAGCACUUUAACAUAUUUAGCCUUAACUAAGCCAAAACCGAACAGCUGAACCACCUCAACUGAACCACAUGAACCCAACAAAGCUUCAGCAGUUUAACACAGCCUAGCACAGCUGAGCCAAAACUCAGCACAGCUAAACUAAACCAACACAGCUCAAUCAACACGUCUGAACUACACCAAAAUAUUUUUUUGGAUAACAAAGGCUUUCGUGAACAAAAUACACACAGCAUGUCACAAAAAUUCAUUAUAUCCACAUUCAUUGCAUUUUAUGACAUGCUAAAUAAUUUACAAUGUUCUUACAACAUCUGAAGAAGAAAAGUAUGGUAAUACAAACAAUUGAGAUCAAAUUAUUAUAAAUUAAUAUAAACAAUAUAUAAAAUGUUUGUAUAUCUGGUUAAAUUUUACACUUUCCUAAUUAAUAUAAAAACAACAAAAAAU